rnacentral:rRNA from 1 species
CCUACGGGUGGCAGCAGUGAGGAAUAUUGGUCAAUGGGCGCGAGCCUGAACCAGCCAAGUAGCGUGAAGGAUGACUGCCCUACGGGUUGUAAACUUCUUUUAUAAAGGAAUAAAGUGAGGCACGUGUGCCUUUUUGUAUGUACUUUAUGAAUAAGGAUCGGCUAACUCCGUGCCAGCAGCCGCGGUAAUACGGAGGAUCCGAGCGUUAUCCGGAUUUAUUGGGUUUAAAGGGAGCGUAGAUGGGUUGUUAAGUCAGUUGUGAAAGUUUGCGGCUCAACCGUAAAAUUGCAAUUGAUACUGGUAGCCUUGAGUAAAGUUGGGGGAGGCGGAAUUCGUGGUGUAGCGGUGAAAUGCUUAGAUAUCGCGAGGAACUCCGAUUGCGAAGGCAGCCUACUAAACUGCCACUGACAUUGAUGCUCGAAGGUGUGGGUAUCAAACAGGAUUAGAUACCCGUGUAGUC